AGCUAAACAACAAGAUGAGGGUGACGAUGGUCAGUUCUUGAGCUUCGAACGAGCAGAAAGCUAAACAACAAGAUCAGGAUGGCGAUGGUCAGUUCUUGAGCUUCGAACAGGCAGAAAGCUACACAACAAGAUCAGGGUGGCGAUGGUCAGUUGUUGAGCUUCGAACGGGCAGAAAGGAGGAGGCCAGCUGAGACACUAUAGGUGUGGUGAUGAAAGUUGGGCAAUGAUGAAUACAAGCAAAAGGCUGUUCAAAGAAUUUCCAACCACAACCCUGCAGACCGGGAGCCAAAUGAACAGGACCUCGACCAGCUUCAAUUACAUCUGAACAUGUUUCUAUAAGGAAGAGUUGACAAGGUACCUGGACAUUACAAUGACUCUUGCCCUCUUGAAAGAACACUCCGCAUGCACGCACAUGCAUACGGUGUUUUUUGUGCUUGUUGGCCCGCACACUGCUUGGUGUUUAGAAUAUACAUAUACCUUGUGUUACUGUGCAGAUACAUUGUGUCUGGUAUAGCGAAAUAUGACAAGCACUUGAUUGUAUUGGGAUGAGUGGCCUUUUGGAUUAUAAUGGAACUUGUACUUCACUCCUAUGAAUAAGAUACUGCCAGGCUGCCAAGGAUGUGCACACUUGACUGCUUUGGUCACGGGAAAAAUCCGCUGGCCCGCACUCCACCGGAUUAUAAACUGCAUUGCAUUGCUGGUGCCAAUGUAGUGGACUUUAUGUAUGGAGAUUUGUGAUGACCUUGGUGUACGCUAUUUACUGUUCCUUACGGGCAAAACUCCUACUCGGUCUAGACAAAACCUUGUAAACUUGAGU